rnacentral:rRNA from 1 species
GGUGUAGGCGCAGCGAAAGCGAGUCUGAAUAGGGCGACUUAGUUUGAAGUAUUAGACCCGAAACCCGGCGAUCUAUGCAUGACCAGGAUGAAGGUGCGGUAACACGCACUGGAGGUCCGAACCGAUUAACGUUGAAAAGUUACCGGAUGAGUUGUGCUUAGGGGUGAAAGGCCAAUCAAGCCGGGAAAUAGCUGGUUCUCCGCGAAAACUAUUGAGGUAGUGCCUCGAGCGGACACCAUAGGGGGUAGAGCACUGGAUGGUUGCGGGGGUCGCGAGAUCUACCAAUACUAACCAAACUCCGAAUACCUAUGAGUGAUACUCGGGAGACAGACGGCGGGUGCUAAGGUCCGUCGUCAAAAGGGAAACAGCCCUGACCUACAGCUAAGGUCCCCAAGUCGUGUCUAAGUGGGAAAGCAUGUGGAAAUCCCAAAACAACCAGGAGGUUGGCUUAGAAGCAGCCAUCCUUUAAAGAAAGCGUAACAGCUCACUGGUCUAAACAAGGGUUUCUGCGGCGAAGAUGUAACGGGGCUCAAGACACGCACCGAAGCUUAGGGUGUGAUCUUUGAUCACGCGGUAGCGGAGCGUUCCGUAAGCCUGCGAAGCGAUCUGGUAAUGGGUCGUGGAGGUAUCGGAAGUGCGAAUGCAGACAUGAGU